UACGUAGGCAGCAAGCGUUGUUCGGAGUUACUGGGCGUAAAGGGUGCGUAGGCGGUUGUUUAAGUUUGGUGGGAAAUCUCCCGGCUCAACUGGGAGGGUGCGCCGAAUACUGAAUGACUCGAGUGCGGGAGAGGAGAGUGGAAUUCCUGGUAUAGCGGUGAAAUGCGUAGAUAUCAGGAGGAACACCGGUGGUGUAGACGGCUCUCUGGACCGUAACUGACGCUGAGGCACGAAAUCGUGGGUAGCAAACAGG
rnacentral:rRNA from 1 species